UACGUAGGGUGCAAGCGUUUAAUCGGAAUUACUGGGCGUAAAGCGUGCGCAGGCGGUUAUGUAAGACAGAUGUGAAAUGCCCGGGCUUAACCUGGGAACUGCAUUUGUGACUGCACGGCUAGAGUUUGGCAGAGGGGGGGUAGAAUUCCACGUGUAGCAGUGAAAUGCGUAGAUAUGUGGAGGAACACCGAUGGCGAAGGCAGCCCCCUGGGUCAAGACUGACGCUCAUGCACGAAAGCGUGGG
rnacentral:rRNA from 1 species